rnacentral:rRNA from 3 species
GUUGUAUGGUUAAGUGACUAAGCGUACACGGUGGAUGCCUUGGCAGUUGGAGGCGAUGAAGGACGUAUUAACUUGCGAUAAGCCUAGUCAAGCUAGUAAAAAGCACUUGAGACU